rnacentral:rRNA from 1 species
CACGGGGGGAGCAAGCGUUGUUCGGAAUCACUGGGCGUAAAGGGCGUGUAGGCGGUCAGGUAAGUGGAAUGUGAAAGCCCCCGGCUCACCCGGGGAUCUGCAUCCCAUACUGCCUGGCUUGAGUACGGGAGAGGAUAGGGGAAUUCCUGGUGUAGCGGUGAAAUGCGUAGAUAUCAGGAGGAACACCGGUGGCGAAGGCGCCUAUCUGGCCCGAUACUGACGCUGAGGCGCGAAAGCUAGGGGAGCAAACGGG